AAAAAAAGUGAGAAAUCUGAAUUAUCCACUCCCUCCUAUCUCUCUCGCACCAGUGAGCUCAUCUCACCGGAGCUCUCCAAAAAUGGCGUCCCGUUCAUCAACAUUCACCACCACAACCACCUCGUCUUCGCCGCCGUCGUGGGGAGACAAGGUCUCGCAAGCUGUCAUAUCAAAGUACAACUCUCUGCCUAAGAAAGGAAAGCCUCAAGGUCGCGAGGUCUCCGUUCUCGCCGCCUUUAUCGUCUCUUCUCCCUCUCAAGAAUUAAAAGUUGUUGCAUUGGGGACCGGAACUAAGUGCAUUGGACGGUCGCGGCUUAGUUUGAAUGGUGAUGUGGUGAAUGAUUCACAUGCUGAAGUUGUAGCUAGAAGAGCUCUUUUGAGGUACUUCUACGUAGAGCUUCAAUCCCAUAUAAACAAUAAUAAGCUCAGUAAUGGAAGCAGUAAAUUUGCAAGUGAUGAUUUCCUUUUCCAAUUGGAGGCAGAUGGGUUUGGCGGAGGAAAAUACAAAUUGAGGCCUGGCUGGAAAUUACAUCUUUACAUAUCACAGUUGCCUUGUGGGGACGCCUCAUUGUGUUCACAACUUUUUCCUUGUUUAAGUAGUUCACUGAGAGAAGGGGAUUCACGUUCCUCUACGCAAAAACUUAAUGAUCUUAUGGAAGAAUUUCUGGAGUCAUCUGUUAAGACAGAUGGUGAUUGCUCACAAGUAAUUGGUACCGUUCAAAGAAAGCCAGGCCGUGGAGAGGCAACCUUGUCAGUUAGCUGUUCUGACAAGAUUGCACGUUGGAAUGUUGUUGGAGUUCAAGGAGCUUUGCUCUCCUAUUUUCUUCAGCCAGUUUACCUAUCUACUGUAACUGUUGGGCAGCCUCUUCAUAAAUUUGAAAUCAGUGAAGUGGAAGAUCAAUUAAAAAGAUCUUUAUAUGAUCGGAUUCUGCCACUUUCUGACAAGCUGACGAGUCCCUUCCAAGUUAAUAAGCCAGUAUUUUCAGUGGCGUCAACACCAUUAAAGGAGUUCCAGCACUCUGAAACUGCUUCAUCCACUUUAACAUGCGGGUAUUCAAUUGGCUGGGACAAGUCAGGCUAUCAUGAAGUCAUUCUUGGAACUACUGGAAGAAAACAAGGCACCUCCAAAAAAGGAUCAGAAUUUCCAUCCAGCGAGUCAGCUUUAUGCAAGAAACGAUUAUUCGAGCUGUUUCUGUCAUUAAGGCAUGAAUGCUUAACCAGAUACUUUAGCAGCAAGAUUUCAUAUCAAAAACUCAAGGAAGGGGCUCAAGAUUACCGUUCAGCAUCUAAGAUUGUUAAAGGGAGUCCACUUCUGAACAACUGGCUUGCUAAACCAUCAAACUUUGAGGAAUUUUCUCUUGUGCUACAGUGAGAGAAUGCAGGUCCGUUGGCCUUAUUGUACAUUGAGCUAUUUGCUGGGUGAAGUCAAGCAUCUAUGGUGAAGAACUUUCUAUAUAGUUAGAGUUAUAUCUAUAGAUCCGGCUGAAGGGUGAUCAGUUAUGAGGAGUGAGGACCACUAGCAAUAACUGAGACAUGAUAUCUUAAAUGAGGAGAUGUAGAAGAUGGCAGUCAUUCAAGUUGGAAGCUGCAGUGACUGUUCAGUCUGUUCUCAAGCUUUUCUUCCAUAUCUUAAUCGACUAUUUAAUUUUUGCUUUUUCCACCGAUGCAGCAUCUCAAUAUAAACACCAACAUGGCGGUUUUUUUUUUUUUUUUUUUAACGAGACUUGAUGGCUUUAAGUGUUCAUUUAAAACUGUUUAUGACGAAUUUUGUUUUAUAAAAUGUGACGAAAUUUGGGUUAAUAUAAUUUCACAAUGCAGACCAAAUAAAAGAUGCCUUUAAUCUUUCUCUGGUUAAGAGUUCACAAUGCAUACCGAAUAAAGGACACCUUUAUUCCCUCUUCAAUUGCUGCCGACUGCCGAGCUUUACACCUCCCAUGCAUGUUUGAUGGAAUAGAUGCUAGGGCAAGUGGACAUAGUGUUACGAACAAAAUUCAAUUACUUGAGUUUGACUCCUUACGAACUCGUUUAAAUAGGUACACGGAUAAAACUCUGAUUUGUUACGAACUUGUUCAAGUGUUGUGGUUAUGGUUUGAGUAUUAACUAUGCUGACUUUAAACACAAAAAAAAAUAUAUUUCACGACUAACUAGCUUAGGCCGAAUUUUAAAUAUAUUUGACUCGAACUCUUUAACUUGACAUUGUGUUAAGUGACCAAUUUUUCUAAAAUCUCAAGUUGUUAGGAGGAGGGCUUAUCAGGAUCAAAUCUGAUACUCAAACCAUAUUGUUGCGUUUGAAGUCGUGAACCAUAUGAGAAGGGGUCGAGGUGGUAACCAAGGUGAGGUUGCUCUUAAACUGGAUAUCAGUAAAGCCUAUGACAAAGUGAGCUGGGAGUAUCUGAAAAAUCGCAUGCAAUCCCUUGGUUUCUGUGAUGAAUGGAUUGGCUGGAUUAUGAGAUGUGUUUCCACGGUCUCUUAUGAUAUUAAUUUGAACGGGUUGACUGUUGGCCCUAUCACCCCCAAGAGAGGUCUCCGUCAAGGAGAUCCUCUCUCUCCUUAUCUCUUUUUAUUCUGCGUAGAGGGGCUAUCGAACCUGUUA